UGUUCCCAACAAGCUAGUUGAAGGAAGGCUUUCACACACAAUUAUCUAGCAGAAGUAAGCAUGUGGAGAGACGUCCGUUCAUCUAACACAAAGGGAACGGUUUGCAGGAGAAACACUUUCUCUAGUUUUUCAUUCGGGUUCCGAGUGCCGGUUAGAUGUUCCUGCAAUUUUCACUGUAAACACGAGUUG